rnacentral:lncRNA from 1 species
UUCCCCUUUUUAUGAGAUUAUCCUGGGUUAAAACCGCUUCUUUUGCUAGUAGCCAAGUGAAGCAAGCUACCUUGUAUGAAAUCUUUGUUUUCCAUAUAUGUUUCCAAGACCAUGUGUCUACCUGUUGAUUGUCAUGAUUCAAAAUCUUAUAUGCAUCCUUCACUCGGUAAACCCCUCUGUUGUGCCUCUCCCACCAUAUUGAAUCCAAACCUUCUUGUAAUCCUGUAAAUGCUUCCAGCUCUUUGUAGAGGUCAGUUAAUCUUGUUAUCUCCUAGUCAUUCAGCUGCCUUCUUAGAGCUAUUUCCCAUCCUUGACAACUCCUCAUUUCAGCUACUGUCUUAUGCUGGUUUUGUGCUAAACCGAACAUAUCUGGGUAUCUUUCCUUUAAGCUUCCAAUUCCUAACCAGUUAUCAUUCCAAAAUGAUGUGUUCCUUCCGUUGUUCACUCUUAUGGAGGAGUGAUUCUUCAUUAUUGGCCAAAGUUCUCUGAUGGAUUUCCACACAUUUACUCCCUGUGAUGUUCUGACUUUUUUUGACACCCAGUUGCUUUCUUCACCAUACUUUGCUUUGAUCACUUAGGACCAUAAAGAUUGGGGUUCUUUAGAGUACUUCCAUAACCAUUUAAUUCUGAGAGCCUUGCUUUGGUUCUUCAAAUUCCUUAUCCCCAUUCCACCUUGUUUUUUCUCCAUUGUUAGCAUCUUCCAAUUGACUAAAUGGAAGACCUUUUUCUCCUUAUUGCCUUGCCAAAGGAAUGUUCUUCGGAGUUUGUCCAAUCUCUGUAAAACGCCUGCUGGAAUUGGGAACAAAGACAUCAUGUAAGUAGGUAGAGAGUCUAAUACUGAGUUGAUUAGAACUAGCCCACCCCCCAAUGAUAGGUACUGCGAUUUCCAUCUUGACAACUUCUUCUCACACUUUUCUAUGACUGAAUUCCAGAUUUCUUUUGAUUUGGACCUUGCACCAAGAGGCAUCCCGAGGUAAACUGUUGGUAGGGACCCAACUUCUCUUCCCAAUAUCUGAGUCAGUUGCCCCAUGUUGUUAACUUCAUUAAUGGGAAAACUAUUGCUCUUCCUCCAGUUAAUGUGUAAUCCUGAUACUCCCUCAAAUAAAACCAAAAUGAUCCUUAAGAAUCUAAGUUGUUCUUUUUCAGCAUCACAAAAGACUAGAGUAUCAUCUGCGUAUUGGAGAUGUGUGAUAUCUAGAUUGUUAGCCCCACUCCUGUUUACCUCAAAGCCUUUAACCCAUCCACUGACUUUAGCCGUUUUGAUCAUGUUGUUCAAUCCUUCCAUAGCUAUGAUGAAUAGGAAGGAGAUAAAGGAUCACCUUGUCUGAGACCUCUAUGUGAAUGAAAAUAACCUUUAGGACAUCCAUUUAUAAGAAUGAAGAAUUUCACAGUAGAUAUGCAAAAUUUCAUCCAUCUAAUCCAUUUUUGCCCAAAACCCAUUUGUUCUAACAUUCUUAGUAGGAAGCUCCAGUUCACAUGAUCAUAGGCCUUCUCGAUAUCCAAUUUGCAUAAGAUUCCAGGUUCUUUCUUCUUUAUUCUUGAGUCCACAGCUUCAUUAGCAAUCAUCACUGCAUCAAUUAUUUGUCUUCCUUUGAUAAACGCCAUUUGUUGAGCAUCGACAAUUUUCCCAACCACCCUCUUAAGUCUUUCAGUUAAGACUUUUGCGAGCAGUUUGUAGAAGCUCCCUAUAAGACUGAUCGAUCAGAAAUCUCUCAAUUCUUUCGCACCCGUCUUCUUUGGAAUCAAAGCUAUAUAUGUUGCAUUGAAGCUUUUCUCAAACAUCUCAUGUGAAUGGAAGUUGUUAAAAGCCGCCAUGAUAUCUUCCUUCAAAAUGUCCCAGCACUUUCUGAAAAAACCCAUUGUGUAUCCAUCUGGCCCUGGAGCCUUGUCACUUGCACACAUCUUCAGACUGCUCAGCACUUCUUGUUCCUCAAAAUUACUCUGUAAAGACUCCCUUUCUGAUUCAGAAAUGCUUGAACUAUUUUCGAAAUUGACUGUUGGUCUCCACUGUUCAGGUUCUGUGUAAAGCUCCUUGUAGAAUUCAAUGAUCUCGUCCUCUAUUCUUCCUGGAUCCUCGAUUACUUCAUGUCGAAUCAUUAUUUGGUCAAUGUUGUUGUUUCUCUUGCGUGCAUUUGCAGUCCGAUGGAAAAAUUUUAUAUUCCUAUCCCCUUCUUUGAGCCACAAAUCUCUUAAUUUUUAUCUCCAUGCCAAUUCUUCAUUCUUGAGUUGCACCACAAUCUCCAUUAGAGUGGCUGCUUUCCUGACUGAUUCCUCCUCUGUCAACGCUCUUAGUUGUUGCGUUGUCUCAAAAUCUGCUAGUUUACUUAGCAAUUUUGAUUUCUGCAUUCCCAAAUUGCCUUUGUAACUUCUGCUCCAUCCUUUUAGCUUGGCCUUGAGAGCUUUUAACUUGCAAGCUAAAAUGUAAUCAGGUCUUCCUGAGAAUUCAAAAGAUCCCCACCACUCUCUAAUUCUGUCCUCAAAGCCUUCCACAUUCAGCCACCAAUUUUCAAACUUAAAGUAUGAUUUAGCUUGUUCCCACGCACCACAGUCUAGAGCCACAGGUGAAUGGUUCGAAAUCAACCUUUGUUGGAUAGAUUGCUUGAUGUUUCUGAACCUUGCAUCCCAUUCUUCUGAGAUGAGAAAUCUAUCAAUUCUUGACGCCGCUGUAUGAUUGAACCAAGUAUAGUUUCCUCCUUCAAGUCGAAGAUCUAUCAACUCCAUAUCUUCUAUACAAUCCGAAAACUCCACCAUCGCCCUGGACCUCCUUGAACAUUCCCGUUUUUCAGAAGGGUACCUUGUAACGUUAAAAUCGCCACAAACCGCCCAAGGACCUUCCAUCAAUCCCCUCACUGCACCAAUUUCUCUCCAUACUUUUUUCCUUUCUAUUCUACAAUUUGGAGCAUACACUCCUGUUAUGUGACAUUGAAAGUUCUGUAGAAGAGCGUCAAACUUGCACGUCAAAGUGUAUGCACCAGUCUGUAACACCUCCCCUUUCCAUACUCUGCAAUCCCAUAACAACAAAAUCCCCCCUCUUGUGCCGCUUGCUUCUAAACAUGCAUACCUCACCCAUCUACCACCCCAUAUUUGCCUGACUAUUUCCUCGAUACCCCCCUCGACUUUUGUUUCUUGCAAGCAAAUAAUGUCUGCCCUCCAAUUCUGCACUUGACUUUUUAUUAUCUCCCUUUUCUUCUUAUCGUUUAAACCCCUUAAAUUCCAGGAAAUUACUUUUAUAAUCAUAUAGAAAUGAUUGAUAGAUCUCUUCCCCUACUCCUUUUCCCAUCACUCUUGAAUUUGACAUCGAAAGUAGUUAACCCUUUUAAUUCCAGUGAUCCUUUGAAUCUUUGUUUCUUCACCUCCG